CUGUCAGUGGCGGACGGGUGAGUAACGCGUAGGGAUCUAUCCUUGGGUGGGGGACAACGGUUGGAAACGACUGCUAAUACCGCAUGAUAACUAAGGUUUAAAGGCGCAAGUCGUCUGGGGAGGAGCCUGCGUACGAUUAGCUAGUUGGUGGGGUAAAGGCCUACCAAGGCUGCGAUCGUUAGCUGGUCUGAGAGGAUGAUCAGCCACAUUGGGACUGAGACACGGCCCAA
rnacentral:rRNA from 1 species